rnacentral:rRNA from 1 species
GGGCGUUAAGUUGCAGGGUAUAGACCCGAAACCCGGUGAUCUAGCCAUGGGCAGGUUGAAGGUUGGGUAACACUAACUGGAGGACCGAACCGACUAAUGUUGAAAAAUUAGCGGAUGACCUGUGGCUGGGGGUGAAAGGCCAAUCAAACCGGGAGAUAGCUGGUUCUCCCCGAAAGCUAUUUAGGUAGCGCCUCGUGAAUUCAUCUCCGGGGGUAGAGCACUGUUUCGGCUAGGGGGCCAUCCCGGCUUACCAACCCGAUGCAAACUGCGAAUACCGGAGAAUGUUAUCACGGGAGACACACGGCGGGUGCUAACGUCCGUCGUGAAGAGGGAAACAACCCAGACCGCCAGCUAAGGUCCCAAAGUCAUGGUUAAGUGGGAAACGAUGUGGGAAGGCCCAGACAGCCAGGAUGUUGGCUUAGAAGCAGCCAUCAUUUAAAGAAAGCGUAAUAGCUCACUGGUCGAGUCGGCCUGCGCGGAAGAUGUAACGGGGCUAAACCAUGCACCGAAGCUGCGGCAGCGACACUGUGUGUUGUUGGGUAGGGGAGCGUUCUGUAAGCCUGCGAAGGUGGCCUGUGAGGGUUGCUGGAGGUAUCAGAAGUGCGAAUGCUGACAUAAGUAACGAUAAAGCGGGUGAAAAGCCCGCUCGCCGGAAGACCAAGGGUUCCUGUCCAACGUUAAUCGGGGCAGGGUGAGUCGACCCCUAAGGCGAGGCCGAAAGGCGUAGUCGAUGGGAAACGGGUUAAUAUUCCCGUACUUGGUGUUACUGCGAAGGGGGGACGGAGAAGGCUAUGUUGGCCGGGCGACGGUUGUCCCGGUUUAAGCGUGUAGGUGUGUGUUCCAGGUAAAUCCGGUUCACUUUAACACUGAGGCGUGACGACGAGGCACUACGGUGCUGAAGCAACAAAUGCCCUGCUUCCAGGAAAAGCCUCUAAGCAUCAGGUAACAUCAAAUCGUACCCCAAACCGACACAGGUGGUCAGGUAGAGAAUACCAAGGCGCUUGAGAGAACUCGGGUGAAGGAACUAGGCAAAAUGGUGCCGUAACUUCGGGAGAAGGCACGCUGACACGUAGGUGAAGUGAUUUACUCAUGGAGCUGAAGUCAGUCGAAGAUACCAGCUGGCUGCAACUGUUUAUUAAAAACACAGCACUGUGCAAACACGAAAGUGGACGUAUACGGUGUGACGCCUGCCCGGUGCCGGAAGGUUAAUUGAUGGGGUCAGCGCAAGCGAAGCUCCUGAUCGAAGCCCCGGUAAACGGCGGCCGUAACUAUAACGGUCCUAAGGUAGCGAAAUUCCUUGUCGGGUAAGUUCCGACCUGCACGAAUGGCGUAAUGAUGGCCAGGCUGUCUCCACCCGAGACUCAGUGAAAUUGAACUCGCUGUGAAGAUGCAGUGUACCCGCGGCAAGACGGAAAGACCCCGUGAACCUUUACUAUAGCUUGACACUGAACAUUGAGCCUUGAUGUGUAGGAUAGGUGGGAGGCUUUGAAGUGUGGACGCCAGUCUGCAUGGAGCCGACCUUGAAAUACCACCCUUUAAUGUUUGAUGUUCUAACGUGGACCCGUUACCCGGGUUGCGGACAGUGUCUGGUGGGUAGUUUGACUGGGGCGGUCUCCUCCUAAAGAGUAACGGAGGAGCACGAAGGUUGGCUAAUCCUGGUCGGACAUCAGGAGGUUAGUGCAAUGGCAUAAGCCAGCUUGACUGCGAGCGUGACGGCGCGAGCAGGUGCGAAAGCAGGUCAUAGUGAUCCGGUGGUUCUGAAUGGAAGGGCCAUCGCUCAACGGAUAAAAGGUACUCCGGGGAUAACAGGCUGAUACCGCCCAAGAGUUCAUAUCGACGGCGGUGUUUGGCACCUCGAUGUCGGCUCAUCACAUCCUGGGGCUGAAGUAGGUCCCAAGGGUAUGGCUGUUCGCCAUUUAAAGUGGUACGCGAGCUGGGUUUAGAACGUCGUGAGACAGUUCGGUCCCUAUCUGCCGUGGGCGCUGGAGAACUGAGGGGGGCUGCUCCUAGUACGAGAGGACCGGAGUGGACGCAUCACUGGUGUUCGGGUUGUCAUGCCAAUGGCACUGCCCGGUAGCUAAAUGCGGAAGAGAUAAGUGCUGAAAGCAUCUAAGCACGAAACUUGCCCCGAGAUGAGUUCUCCCUGAGACUUA